rnacentral:tRNA from 1 species
GAGGGUAUAGCUCAGUGGUAGAGUGCAUGCUUAGCAUGCAUGAGGUCCUGGGUUCAAUCCCCAGAACCUCCA